UACGUAGGGUGCAAGCGUUAAUCGGAAUUACUGGGCGUAAAGCGUGCGCAGGCGGUUAUGCAAGACAGAGGUGAAAUCCCCGGGCUCAACCUGGGAACUGCAUCUGUGACUGUAUAGCUAGAGUACGGUAGAGGGGGAUGGAAUUCCGCGUGUAGCAGUGAAAUGCGUAGAUAUGCGGAGGAACACCGAUGGCGAAGGCAAUCCCCUGGACCUGUACUGACGCUCAUGCACGAAAGCGUGGGGAGCAAACAGG
rnacentral:rRNA from 1 species